rnacentral:rRNA from 1 species
AUUGAACGCUGGCGGCAGGCCUAACACAUGCAAGUCGAGCGGAACGGCGGAAGGGUGAGGAAUGCCUAGGAAUCUGCCUGGGAGUGGGGGAUAACGUCCGGAAACGGGCGCUAAUACAGCAUACUAUCAGAUGAGACUAGGUCGGAUUAGCUAGUUGGUGGGGUAAAGGCCUAGCAAGGCGAAGAUCAUGCACUGGUCUGAGAGGAUGAUCAGUCACACUGGGACUGAGACACGGUCCAGACUCCUACGGGAGGCAGAAGUGGGGAAUAUUGGACAAUGGGCGAAAGCCUGAUCCAGCCAUGCCGCGUGUGUGAAGAAGGUCUUCGGAUUGUAAAGCACUUUAAGUUGGGAGGCGUUACCAACAGAGUAAGCACCGGCUAACUUCGUGCCAGCAGCCGCGGUAAUUC